rnacentral:lncRNA from 1 species
GGAUCACGCGCCAGCGGUUGCGUCGUGGGUCCGCGCACGGGCGGCGGCGGCACGACCGACAUGAGGCGCUCGCGCGUCGUCAUGCAGUAGCCGGGUCCAAAGACGCAGGGCGACUCGGGGCGCGGCCCGUCGGCGCGCUCGUUCAAGACGCCGAGCGCGUACAGGGCAAUCCUUACCUCAACAGUAAGCAUUUCAACCAAUUCACCGUGGCCGGCGAGUCGCAUGCGAUCGAGAAAGACAUCGACGGCCGCCGCUGCGCGCUCACGAAGCCGCUCCUCAUAGGCCUUGAUCGCAGCAGCGUAGCGCGCAUUUUGGCAUAGGGUGGUGGUCGCGUGCCAUGUCGUUCUUUGCUCUGUGCUGCGCGCGACCACGGGGGUCGCUCGUGCCGCCUCAUCCUUGACCGCGACGGCCAAGGGGUCACUGCCGGCGACAGAUGGCGACGGCACAGGCGCGCGGGGUCGCACGAGGCGGCGCGCAUUCACUCCCACAUCGGGACGCGCCCAUGCGCACAGAUAGCGUGCAUGGUUGCCCAUUACCCACCGGCGGCGAACAAUAGUGUCGAGGACUGGAUCGGCGUCGGGCGUGCACCAACGCGUCGAGCGACGGAACCAGCGGUCGAGCAGGUCCUGGUCCCACAGGCCAUAGACGACAUCGCGCGGAUCGACGACGUCGCCCUUGGUGUCAGAGUAAAAGGCCAUGGCCAACUCUUCGUCGGUGGGCGUCACGGGCACGUCCGGCGCCGCCAUGUCGAUGCGCACGCGGCGGCCGUCGCUGCCCACGACAAAGUGCGAUCGCUUGGUAUAGGCCUUGCGCACCUCCUUGGCAUAGGCCCGCUCCCAGUAGUCGCGGCACCAUUUGUCAUCCUUGUCAGGGUGCGUUGCCGGCAUGCGAGUCCACGCGUCGUGUGCGCUCAUCGAGUUGUCGUGAUCAUGAUCGCCGUGAUCAUACCACGACGUAAACAUGUGGAUGGGCGACACAUAGUCGGGGAUCGGCGGCGCGGCGGCGGAUGAGAGCGGCAUCGUGGCACGCCCGCGCUUGCCCUUGGCCUUGACGCGCACAUGCGUCGUGAUCGUGGUCGCGCCGGCGUUGCCGCCAAGUUUUGCCGGUAGCGGCGGCGCGGGCUCGGAGCGUGCUGCCGCUGCCACGGCACGGCGGCGCGUGUCUGCACGCUUGCUCUUGCUGCCGACAAACCGCAAGAUCGGCGGUUGGCCGACCGUGCCCUCGGGCACCAUGUACGACGUGAGCAUCGACGGCAUGGGUCUGGCGGGCGGCGGCUUGGGUCGAGAUCUACGGUUCGAUGCGGUCCGAGCGGUAGCCGUAUUGUUGGUGGCAGGCGCGGCGGUGGUGCCCGGCGCGUGCGCCGUGUCGGCGCCAAGAGGCGAUGACUGGGGGCCUGUGCCCACUUGGUGUUCCAUCCUACAAGUCCUUGAGGUAGAGGAAAAAAAAAGAUGGCAACAACAAUACAAAAAAAAAGAAAAAGAUGGCCUAAAUAAAAAAAGAGGAAACCCUCAGCAGGAAAUAGAGUGAAAGAGUCCAAGUGCCUGUCGCUGUUUGUGUGUCUGUGCGUGAUCUCGCGCAAUGCGCAUAUCGAGCCAUUGC